GCUUGGAUAGCUCAGCUGGGGAGAGCGUGGUGCUGAUGACGCCAAGGUUGCAGGUUCGAAUCCUGUACGGGGCA